rnacentral:rRNA from 1 species
GAUCCGGUGGGUCUGCGUGGAAGGGCCAUCGCUCAACGGAUAAAAGCUACCCUGGGGAUAACAGGCGUAUCUCCCCCAAGAGUCCACAUCGACGGGGAGGUUUGGCACCUCGAUGUCGGCUCAUCACAUCCUGGGGCUGUAGUAGGUCCCAAGGGUUGGGCUGUUCGCCCAUUAAAGUGGUACGCGAGCUGGGUUCAGAACGUCGUGAGACAGUUCGGUCCCUAUCCGUCGCAGGCGUAGGAAAUUUGAGAAGACCUGUCCUUAGUACGAGAGGACCGGGAUGGACGUACCUCUGGUGUACCAGUUGUCCUGCCAAGGGCAUGGCUGGGUAGCUAUGUACGGAAUGGAUAAGCGCUGAAAGCAUCUAAGCGCGAAGCCAACUUCAAGAUAAGAUUUCCCACCGCAAGGGUAAGACCCCAGAAAGACUAUCUGGUUGAUAGGUCGAAGGUGUAAGUGUAGCAAUGUAUUUAGCUUAUCGAUACUAAUAGGUCGAGGACUUGACCAAU